AGCAAACCCAUUAGCUCACAUAGUUACUUUGUGGGUGGAUGUGUGUGUCAUGGUGAAAAUACUAAAGAUCUAUUCUCUUAGCAAAUUUCAACUAAAUACAGUAUUAUUAAUUAUAACCACCUUGCUGUGCAUCAAAUUUCCAGAACUUAUUCACCCUGUGACUGAAAGUUUGUACCAUUGACCAUCUCCUCAUUUCUGUCAGACCCCAGCCCUGGCAAUGGCUGGUUCUGAGUCUGGAUUUUUUAGAUUCCGUGUAUAGCACCAGUAUAUUCUUCCUGGAAAAUUCCAUCUACUAAGGAGCCUACCAGGCUACAGUCUAUGGAGUUGCAAAGAGUCAGAUAUGACUGAGCAAGCAGAAUACGUUAUGUGAAGCACAAGAUGGAAUCAAGAUUGCCAGGAGAAAUAUAAAUAACCUCAGAUAUGCAUAUGACACCACCCUUAUGGCAGAAAGCAAAGAGGAACUAAAGAGGCUCUCGAUGAAGGUGAAAAAGCAGAAUGAAAAAAACUGGCUAAAAACUCAACAUUCAAAAAAUGAAGAUCAUCGCAUCCGGUCCCAUCACUUCAUGGCAAAUAGAUGGGGUAACAAUGGAAACAGUGACAGACUUUAUCUUCUUAUGCUCCAACAUAACUGCAGAUGGUGACGACAGCCAUGAAAUUAAAAGACGCUGCUCCUUGGAAGAAAAGCUAUGACAAAACUAGACAGCAUGUUAAAAAGCAGAGACAUUACUUUGCCAACAAAGGUCCAUCUAGUCAAAGCUGUGGUUUUCCUAGUAGUCAUGUAUGGAUGUAAGAGUUGGACCAUUAAGAAGGCUGAGUGCCGAAGAAUUGAUGCUUUUGAAUUGUGGUGUUGGAGAAGACUCUUGAGAGUCCCUUGGAUGGCAAGGAUAUCAGACCAGUUAAUCCUGGAGGAAAUCAAUCCUGAAUAUUCACUGGAAGGAGCUGAAGCUCCAAUACUUUGGCCACCUGAUACAAAGAGCUGACUCAUUAGAAAAGACCCUGAUCCUGGGAAAGAUUGAAGAUAGGAGGAGAAGGGGGUGACAGAGGAUGAGAUGGUUG
ensembl:lncRNA